rnacentral:lncRNA from 1 species
AAUCGAUUUCCAAUGCAGAAGCAUUGGGCAGGAUGGCUGGACAGUUGAGCACAGGUUUGGAAGUCAAGAGAAAUGGACGCUCACCCUGACUCUCUCUCCUGGUGUUCUAGGAGAGGUGUCGUCUGUGCCCUGGAUCCUCAGUCUCUGUGAUGCAGGAUCAUAUAACUUUUUCCCCUGAAGUCUUGAGCAUCCUGGGUAGGAGGGGGAGGACAAGGAGAUGCUGGCAGGAAGUCCUUUUCUGGAUCAGGUUGUAGCCCCAAGACAGAGCAUGUGGGUUUCCCCACCGAGCCAGGCAGAAGGGCCACCAUGUGACUGUGACAGCCAACCUCCAGGGGUCUCUGGGAGCCCUUUGGGCUUCUCUGAAGAUAUUUUUCCUGUCCUCCUACCAAACCUGACCCGGGGAUUAGUAGGAUGCUUAUUGUAAAGAUCUCUUUCUUCUUUUGAAUAUGUACCCAUCUAAUAUAGCUUUCACUGAAAAUUUAUGUCCAAAUGGCUAAAGUUUCUAAGAACCUAGUGAAUAUGGCAAAUCCCUCUUCACAAUCAACAGUUUCAGCAAUGGAGUUAUUUAACGUGGCUCAGAGAAGUGGUGAAGAGUUUCUGAGGUUAGCUUUGCCUCCUGCCCCCAACAGAGCAGUUGGCACCAUCGUGAAUUAAGUUUUUCUCCCACAGCAUCACUGUAUCUCAUAGCAUAAGUUGGAAAUGAUGGGGGAACCCCAAUUUUCUCUUAAAUGAAAAAGACUUGCCCAUUCCUGGCUCGUCUAAAUGUACAGUAUGUAUGAUUCUCGUUUUUUGUUUUGAUUCAGGAAGAUUUGCCCUGAGCUAACAUCUGUUGCCAAUCUUCUUUAUUUUUUAUGUGAGCCGCCACCGCAGCAUGGCCGCUGACAGACGAGUGGUGCGGUUCUGUGCCUGGGGACUGAACCCAAGCUGCCAAUGUGGAGCCCACAGAACUUCACCCAGUAGGCCCUUGGGGCUGGUGCCGUAUGAUUCUUUAUUCACCACCAGCAGCAUGGUCUCUUCCCUUUGCCCAUAUCAACUGUCAACUGUGUUCUGCGGGCAUCUCUCCAUCCCCUCAGCCUCCCCUCAGCCUCCUUCCAGCCCCCACAGCGCCCUGUGUUGGAUGUCUACUUGCACAUGCCUCCCCAGAGGGCCAGCCAUCCUGAGAGAGAGGUCCUCACUUACUAAGAGGGGUACAAAGAUCAGCUCUGGGGGCAUAUAAAGGGAAUGCCUGUGCUACUGGGGGACACGGAGAAAGCUGGGGGAAGGGCCGACAGGAGGGAAGGAAUCAAGAAUUCUGGUGUUGCCAUGUUCAGUUUGAGAGGCCUCUUAGACAUCCAGGAAGCAAAGUCAAGUUGGCAGUUAUCGAAAGUCAAG